rnacentral:rRNA from 1 species
GAUGAACGCUGGCGGCGUGCCUAAUACAUGCAAGUCGAGCGAACAGACGAGGAGCUUGCUCCUCUGACGUUAGCGGCGGACGGGUGAGUAACACGUGGAUAACCUACCUAUAAGACUGGGAUAACUUCGGGAAACCGGAGCUAAUACCGGAUAAUAUAUUGAACCGCAUGGUUCAAUAGUUAAAGACGGUUUUGCUGUCACUUAUAGAUGGAUCCGCGCCGCAUUAGCUAGUUGGUAAGGUAACGGCUUACCAAGGCGACGAUGCGUAGCCGACCUGAGAGGGUGAUCGGACACACUGGAACUGAGACACGGUCCAGACUCCUACGGGAGGCAGCAGUAGGGAAUCUUACGCAAUGGGCGAAAGCCUGACGGAGCAACGCCGCGUGAGUGAUGAAGGUCUUCGGAUCGUAAAACUCUGUUAUUAGGGAAGAACAAAUGUGUAAGUAACUAUGCACGUCUUGACGGUACCUAAUCAGAAAGCCACGGCUAACUACGUG